GUGGCGUCCGGGUGAGUAACACGUAGGUAAUCUACCUUCGGGUGGGGAAUAACCCAGGGAAACUUGGGCUAAUACCGCAUAAUGCAGCGGCACCACAUGGUGACAGUUGUUAAAGCGGGGGAUCUUCGGAUCUCGCGCCUGAAGAGGAGCCUGCGGCAGAUUAGCUAGUUGGUAGGGUAACGGCUUACCAAGGCGACGAUCUGUAGCCGGCCUGAGAGGGCGGUCGGCCACACUGACACUGACAUACGGGUCAGACUCCUACGGGAGGCAGCAGUCGGGAAUUUUGGGCAAUGGGCGAAAGCCUGACCCAGCAACGCCGCGUGAAGGAUGAAAUCCCUCGGGAUGUAAACUUCGCAAGAAUAGGAAGAAUUAGCGAGUACUAAUACUGCUCGCGAUGACGGUACUAUUUGUAAGCUCCGGCUAACUCCGUGCCAGCAGCCGCGGUAAUACGGGGGGAGCAAGCGUUGUUCGGAUUUACUGGGCGUAAAGGGCGCGUAGGCGGCCAGCACAAGUCAGUUGUGAAAUCUCCGGGCUUAACUCGGAAAGGUCAACUGAUACUGUGCGGCUA
rnacentral:rRNA from 1 species